rnacentral:lncRNA from 1 species
UCUGGCCAUGUAAUACACGCCUGCUUCCCCUUCCCCUUCUACCAUAACGGUAUAUGGUGCAUAAUUGGAAAUGGAGCAUGAUGGGGAGAAGUAUGAACCAGAGACUUUUGGAAGAAGUCUGAAUUCUGUGUGCUUUAUAUACAUUUCUCAUGAGGUAAAGGAGACGAUAUCUUCCUCACCAGCAGGAUAAAUAAUAGGUGAUCAAAAGACCCCAGAGCAUGGUGCAAAAAAAAAAUAUGAAACAAACUAAUUUUCCUCGAUCUACAUUUUGGAAAACCACUGUUAUAUUUUUCAGCUCCCAGUGGGAGUUUUUAAUGCCUUUUUCAGCAACAAAACAAAACAAAACAAAACAUUGCAUUACAUACCAUAGGAGAGUAAUGGAAAAGAGAAACAAAAAUCCAGGAUUAAUUCUAAAGUCUUAUAUUCCUAAACACUAUGAAUAUAGAUAAUAGGUCUUGAUUUAAAGCUUUCCAUAUUAAUUUAAUCCCUUGUAAACUCUGCUGUUUCAUAGAAAUUAUACUUUAAGAUGAAGAUUAAAAACAGAAAAAGAAUAUUUUGUGUCUGUUCAUUCAUGUUAUUCCUUGAUUCAUUGUAGCAUAAUGAACAAAAUUUUAGUUUAAGAUUAAAAACUUGCAAUUAUGGUGACAGUUAAAUAUAUAUUAUAGAAACAUGAAAAAACUACAACUCUUUAUGACAUUCAGAGAUCAUGAAAACAUGCUAUUAAGAGAUUUUCAAUAUAAUACUAGAGUAACUUGGAAAAAUAUAAACUAAUAAUUUAAAAACUUUGUGAAAGUCAACAGAUAAUAUUUUAUAAUAUAAAGUUAACAUUCAUUUUUUAAAACUUCAACUCUAGAGCCUAGAAGAUUUGAUGAAAGAGAAACUUUUUUAUUCACUUUAUUGAUAAUGUUCAAUUGUAACAUUUCUGCUGCAUUUAAGAUAGCACAAUCUCACCUUACAAGCAAAUUACUCAUGUCUAUUUCCUAUCUCGAUAAGCACACCUAAGAGCAUACGAUUUUGUUUCCAUUCACAGAUGUACCAUAGAUACUUAUGAGGAACAUUUCCACAUGUUGCACACCUCCUUUAAUUUUGUUUGUUAGUUGGUCCUUGUAGAUCAACUUUAUGGGUUUUAUCUUGACCUAUCACAUUUAUUUGUAACAUAUGAUAAUCUGAGCAAGAAGGCAAAUGCACUUCCAUUUUGACUCUCAACCUGGAUAUACAUAUUUCCCUGACAAUGUGCAGCCUCCAUUGUGAAGACUGAACUUGAGGAUGUGUCUUAGAAAGACUCACCGGAACAUUAGCCAGAUGUUAACAAUGUAUAUUACUGCAGGUCUAAUUUGUUCUGAAAAUCUCUUUGUGAACUUGACAAAGCCAUAUGCCUCAGUAUGUUCUUUCAUCAGUUAAAAAAAAGGGGUUUGGGACUAUUUCAGCAACAAAAAUGCUAUGAAUAUAAUAUUUUGACUAACUGCCUUUUAAAUUUUUAUAUAUUUUCCAUUUGCAUUCAUUUAGGAUAUGUAAUAUAUUCAUAUAGUUCAAAAUGCAAGAGGCAUACAAUUUUAAAGAACAUGUUGAAGGCCUACCCAUCACUGUCAGCCUAAUUUA